UCUUUGGAGUCUUUGGUUUCCUUUUUCUCUUUUGCUCCUCUUUAUUUUUCUUAAGAUAAAAAUCCUCUGGGACAACUUUCUUGGCAUUCUGACCUAGUGAAAAAACCUGGCGUCACCCUACAGUGAAGCUCAAAGUUGGCAAAGUCCACUCACUCAGGGUUUUCUAUCUGCUUUUUAGGUCUCUGCUCUUAACUAGAGGAUGACCAGAUUUACCCAGAUUUACCUGAGAAAAUCAUCUCAUACCAGCCACGGCUCUGACGGGAAACAGAAGGGAGAAAAACACACAAGACUGAGAUAGCUGAACAAAGCUUAGGUCCACCUCAAAGAGAAGUCAACAUUCCUGAAAAUCUCUAAACCCUGAGAGAAACCAGGAUGGCGUGAAGAGACUGGCAAGACUCUCCGAUGACAUGAUGAGACUUACGAGGCUUCAAUGGUAGAUCACUUUAUCGUCAAGUCCACCUCAAAGAAAAGUCAGGAUCCCUGGAAAUCUCUAAACCCUAACCUUCUCCCUAUAAAGCCCUCCAGUUAGCCCUUUAGAGUUAGACCGGAUUUGGGAGAAAUUUAACCCCCUCUGUCUCUUGGACACCGGUGUUCAAUAAAGCCCUCUUGGUGCUUACCUCCUCCUGUCUCAGUAUUGGCUUUAUAGCAUGCGGCUGGAAUCUGCGAUGUGCAGUAACAGAGAUGCUGCCUGUGGAGAUCAGAUUGAGUUGUUCCUUCCUUGCUCUUGCUGCCUUUUUCCCUUGGAAGUAUCUUUGACAGUGUUCCUACAACUCUACUAUCAUGGUUUUAAUUUCCGAGAUAUUUGUUUGCUGAAUGCGCCUUUCUUCCCUUUUUUAAUUUUUUAUCGUGCUUUAGGUGAGCGUUUACAGCUCAAGUUAAUUCCUCAUACAAAAAUAUGGGCUCAAACAUAGCAAAUAUUGUCAGGAUGACGCAGGAAUGGGCACUGUUACGUCCUGUUGUACACGGGGUCGCUAUGAGCCAGAGA